AGUCGGCCCCUAAGGCGAGGCAGAGAUGCGUAGCUGAUGGGAAGCAGGUUAAUAUUCCUGCACCGUCGUAUGAUGCGAUGGGGGGACGGAUCGCGGAAGGUUGUCUGACUGUUGGAAUAGUCAGUUUUUGACUCAUAGAAGGUGCUUAGGCAAAUCCGGGCACGUAAUUCAAGGGGUUGAGACGAGUGAACUUGUUCACGAAGCAAUCGGAAGUGGUUCCAAGAAAAGCCUCUAAGCUUCAGUCAUACGAGACCGUACCGCAAACCGACACAGGUGGGCGAGAUGAGUAUUCUAAGGCGCUUGAGAG
rnacentral:rRNA from 1 species